AAAUUGAAGAGUUUGAUCAUGGCUCAGAUUGAACGCUGGCGGCAGGCCUAACACAUGCAAGUCGAACGGUAACAGGAAGCAGCUUGCUGCUUUGCUGACGAGUGGCGGACGGGUGAGUAAUGUCUGGGAAACUGCCUGAUGGAGGGGAUAACUACUGGAAACGGUAGCUAAUACCGCAUAACGUCGCAAGACCAAAGAGGGGGACCUUCGGGCCUCUUGCCAUCGGAUGUGCCCAGAUGGGAUUAGCUAGUAGGUGGGGUAACGGCUCACCUAGGCGACGAUCCCUAGCUGGUCUGAGAGGAUGACCAGCCACACUGGAACUGAGACACGGUCCAGACUCCUACGGGAGGCAGCAGUGGGGAAUAUUGCACAAUGGGCGCAAGCCUGAUGCAGCCAUGCCGCGUGUAUGAAGAAGGCCUUCGGGUUGUAAAGUACUUUCAGCGGGGAGGAAGGGAGUAAAGUUAAUACCUUUGCUCAUUGACGUUACCCGCAGAAGAAGCACCGGCUAACUCCGUGCCAGCAGCCGCGGUAAUACGGAGGGUGCAAGCGUUAAUCGGAAUUACUGGGCGUAAAGCGCACGCAGGCGGUUUGUUAAGUCAGAUGUGAAAUCCCCGGGCUCAACCUGGGAACUGCAUCUGAUACUGGCAAGCUUGAGUCUCGUAGAGGGGGGUAGAAUUCCAGGUGUAGCGGUGAAAUGCGUAGAGAUCUGGAGGAAUACCGGUGGCGAAGGCGGCCCCCUGGACGAAGACUGACGCUCAGGUGCGAAAGCGUGGGGAGCAAACAGGAUUAGAUACCCUGGUAGUCCACGCCGUAAACGAUGUCGACUUGGAGGUUGUGCCCUUGAGGCGUGGCUUCCGGAGCUAACGCGUUAAGUCGACCGCCUGGGGAGUACGGCCGCAAGGUUAAAACUCAAAUGAAUUGACGGGGGCCCGCACAAGCGGUGGAGCAUGUGGUUUAAUUCGAUGCAACGCGAAGAACCUUACCUGGUCUUGACAUCCACGGAAGUUUUCAGAGAUGAGAAUGUGCCUUCGGGAACCGUGAGACAGGUGCUGCAUGGCUGUCGUCAGCUCGUGUUGUGAAAUGUUGGGUUAAGUCCCGCAACGAGCGCAACCCUUAUCCUUUGUUGCCAGCGGUCCGGCCGGGAACUCAAAGGAGACUGCCAGUGAUAAACUGGAGGAAGGUGGGGAUGACGUCAAGUCAUCAUGGCCCUUACGACCAGGGCUACACACGUGCUACAAUGGCGCAUACAAAGAGAAGCGACCUCGCGAGAGCAAGCGGACCUCAUAAAGUGCGUCGUAGUCCGGAUUGGAGUCUGCAACUCGACUCCAUGAAGUCGGAAUCGCUAGUAAUCGUGGAUCAGAAUGCCACGGUGAAUACGUUCCCGGGCCUUGUACACACCGCCCGUCACACCAUGGGAGUGGGUUGCAAAAGAAGUAGGUAGCUUAACCUUCGGGAGGGCGCUUACCACUUUGUGAUUCAUGACUGGGGUGAAGUCGUAACAAGGUAACCGUAGGGGAACCUGCGGUUGGAUCACCUCCUUACCUUAAAGAAGC
rnacentral:rRNA from 1 species